rnacentral:lncRNA from 1 species
UGGGGAUUAUUAGUAAAAAACUAGAUAUAGUUUUAAAGAAAAACACCAAAACAAAAAAAAUAUAUGCAUACCUAAUUUAUUUCACAAAUAUUCACAAAUAAAUUACAUUGUACAAUAUCGUAGUGUAUUAAUUAUCACGAACUAUGAAUGUCGGAGUAUAGAGGAAAUAUGCAAUCAACUAUGUCUUCAAACGUUCCGGCAACCAAGUGACAUUAUGGAC